UUGGGCAUCAUCGGACGAAGGCUAGUUGACAAGAUUGCAUAUGGUCAUUGAGGAUGUAGUUGUAUAAAUGUGAUGACAGCAUUACUCAAUCUCUGCUUAUGAAUAGGAACCGAGCUUCCUAGCUUGGCCCUCAUAAGAGGAAGGGGAGAGAGAGAGAGAGAGAAGGAUGUGGGUUCUGAGCUCUACCGAGUUGUUCCGCAGAGACUCAAUGGAGCAGCCGGUACUAUUUGAAGAGUACUCAGGAGCGAGAAAGGUGAUCUUGAACCGGCCUUCCAAGUUAAACACCCUCACUCUCGAAAUGGUUUCUCAGAUGUCUAACAAGUUGCAAAUCUACGAGGGCGAUCAUACCGUCAACCUUGUUAUCUUGAAGGUAAAU